UGUAUGGUUAAGUGACUAAGCGUACACGGUGGAUGCCUGGGCAGUCAGAGGCGAUGAAGGACGUACUAACUUGCGAUAAGCGCAGAUAAGGCAGUAAGAGCCGUUUGAGUCUGCGAUUUCCGAAUGGGGAAACCCAACUGCAUAAGCAGUUACUGUUAACUGAAUACAUAGGUUAACAGAGCAAACCGGGGGAACUGAAACAUCUAAGUACCCCGAGGAGAAGAAAUCAACCGAGAUUCCGGUAGUAGCGGCGAGCGAACCUGGAUUAGCCCUUAAGCACUCGGUGAAGUAGGUGAACAAGCUGGAAAGCUUGGCGAUACAGGGUGAUAGCCCCGUAACCGACGCUUCAUCGAGCGUGAAAUCGAGUAGGGCGGGACACGUGAUAUCCU
rnacentral:rRNA from 1 species